UGAAUUGCCUUGGUAACUGUGUUGAAAAUUGACAAUGAUCACCCAGUCUGCAUUCUGAGGUCUUCUGAUGUUGCCCUCUCUAUGCUUGUUCUUGGAGAAGGUCGGUCAUGUAAGCGCUUGUAGGAGUGAGACUCAUCUUACCAAGUCUGCCAGUUGUCUAAAGGAAAAUGUGCAAAUAUCAAGGUUACCUGGGUCUGCUGGUCACUUCUAGUUUUUGGACUCGUGAAGAUGACUGGAUUUGUCAAUGCGCGGCAGGCAACCAGUGGAAAGUUGAUGAAAAUCACCCAGAAGGAAAUCAAAGGCAAGGAUCCAUGCACAGGAGAAACAUUGGCUUAAGUACCAGUGAGCUGUCAACAUUCCUCCGGGAUGUCUUGAGAGAGCGUGUUGUGAAACUGAGCAUCCGCCCAUUGCCUUGUGCCAGAGAUUAAUGAAACAAACGAGAUAGAGACACCAACGGUAUUAAGCACCUGCUGUGACCGCAGCACUGAGGUCCUGGAGAAAACAGAUAGGAUCCAGUGGUGUUGCCCUGAAGAGCUUAUCAUCUG